AGUUCGAUCAUGGCUCAGAUUGAACACUGGCGGGAUGCUUUACACAUGCAAGUCGAACGGCAGCACGGACUUCGGUCUGGUGGCGAGUGGCGAACGGUAUAGUCGUAUCGGAACGUGCCUAGUAAAGGGGAUAACUUGCUGAAAGCGUAGCUAAUACCGCAUACGCCCUUCGGGGGAAAGCGGGGGACCUUCGGGCCUCGCACUAUUAGAGCGGCCGGAUAUCGGAUUAGCUAGUUAUGGGGUAACGGCUCACCAGGCGACGAUCCGUAUUAUUUGAGGACGACCAGCCACACUGGGACUGAGAUGAUGGCCCAGACUCCUACGAGGCAGCAGUGGGGAAUUUUGGACAAUGGGGAAACCCUGAUUCAAUACUCUGCGUGUGUGCGAUGAAGGCCUUCGGGUUGUAAAGCACUUUUGGCAGGAAAGAAACGGCACGGGAUAAUACCCCGUGCAACUGACGGUACCCGUGAAUAAGCACCACAACUACGUGCCAGCAGCCGCGGUAAUACGUAGGGUGCAAGCGUUAAUCGGAAUUACUGGGCGCAAAAGCGUAUGAAUAUUCGGAAAGAAGAUGUGUGAAAUCCAGAGCUUAACUUUGGAACUGCAUUUUUAACUACCGAGCUAGAGUGUACAGAGGGGAGGUGGAAUUCCGCGUGUAGCAGGAAAUGCGUAGAUAUGUGAGGAACAAUUACGGCGAAGGCAGCCUCCUGGGGAUAACACUGACGCUCAUGCACGAAAGCGUGGGGAGCAAACAGGAUUAGAUACCCUGGUAGUCCACGCCCUGGAAACGAUGUCAACUAGCUGUUGGGGCCUUCGGGCUCGGUAGCGCAGCUAAUACGUGAAGUUGACCGCCUGGGGAGUACGGUCGCAAGAUUAAAACCUCAAAGAAUUGGACGGGGACCUGCACAUGUGGAUGAUGUGAUUAAUCUGAUGCAACGCGAAAAACCUUACCUAAAUUUUUGACAUGUCUGGAAUCCCGAAGAGACUGGGGAGUAUGCUCGCAAGAGAACCGGAACACAGGUGUUGCAUGGCUGUCGUCAGCUCGUGUCGAGAUGUUGGGUUAAGUCCCGCAACGAGCGCAACCCUUGUCAUUAGUUGCUACGAAAGGGCACUCUAAUGAGACUGCCGGCGACAAACCGAGGAAGGUGGGGAUGAUGUCAAGUCCUGCUGGCUCUUAUGGGUAGGGCUUCACACGUCAUACAAUGGUUUGGGACGAGUGGUCGCCAACCGUGAGGUGAGCCAAUCCCAGAAACCCGAUCGGGGUCUGGAUUCGCAGUCUGCAACUCGACUACAGAAGUCGGAAUCUGCCAGUAAUCGCGGAUCAAGCAUGUCGCGGUGAAUACGUUCCCGGGUCUUGGUACAGCAACGUCGUCACACCAUGGGAGUGGUUUACCAGAAGUAGUUAGCCUAACCGUAAGGAGGCGAUUACCACUAGUAGAUUCAUGACUGGGGUGAAGUCGUAACAAGGU
rnacentral:rRNA from 1 species